UAGUGCUGCAGCUAACGCAUUAAGCACUCCGCCUGGGGAGUACGGUCGCAAGACUGAAACUCAAAGGAAUUGACGGGGGCCCGCACAAGCGGUGGAGCAUGUGGUUUAAUUCGAAGCAACGCGAAGAACCUUACCAGGUCUUGACAUCCCGUUGACCACUGUAGAGAUAUAGUUUCCCCUUCGGGGGCAACGGUGACAGGUGGUGCAUGGUUGUCGUCAGCUCGUGUCGUGAGAUGUUGGGUUAAGUCCCGCAACGAGCGCAACCCUUGAUCUUAGUUGCCAUCAUUUAGUUGGGCACUCUAAGGUGACUGCCGGUGACAAACCGGAGGAAGGUGGGGAUGACGUCAAAUCAUCAUGCCCCUUAUGACCUGGGCUACACACGUGCUACAAUGGACGAUACAAACGGUUGCCAACUCGCGAGAGGGAGCUAAUCCGAUAAAGUCGUUCUCAGUUCGGAUUGUAGGCUGCAACUCGCCUACAUGAAGCCGGAAUCGCUAGUAAUC
rnacentral:rRNA from 1 species